ACGAGCUACAGCAGCACAUCGUCCAUGUCAAUCAACCCACUGCCUUCGAGGCGAGGCCACAGCUGCAUGUUAUCAAUGCUAAUCAACCCACUGCCUUCAUUCCUCUACAGUGGGCAGCUUGGGCCCUUGGUAAAGCUGCACUUCUGAAUCCUCCAGAAGCUGUUGUGACGACCUGGGGAGCUACCCUGGGGCUGCAGCUGGGCUGGAGGAACCGGUGUGCAGCCCUCCACGUCAGCCCUCACUGACAGAGGGACUUCCAAGGGCUUGGGGCAGUGCCAGGGAGUCAGAGGGAUGGCACACGGUGUAUCUGCAGACACAGAGGUGGCUUCCAGCAGGUCCUUUUGAGAGAGCUGCACACAGCUCUGCUCCUUGGGUGAUUUUUGAGGUCCCCUGCCCGCUCCCCCACCUCUUCCUUCCGCCCCCCGGCAGGUGAGCCUGCAGGAAACCACGCGAGGAGCACGGCAGUUUCCAGCGCUGCGCCCAGGGUGCUGUGAUGGUUUUGUGUGUGCGCGCAUCUUCUUUUUCCACCCAGGCAAUGGUUUGGGUCACCGGGGCUGUUUUAAGAUGGGGUUUGCAAGUUUCUGGUCGACAGGGUAUUUCCUUGAGGCAGUGUCACAGCACCAUCUGGUGGGGUCCCAGCCAACCGCCGGCAGGACAGGGGCUGCUCGUCUGCAAACGGUGGUGACGAGGGGGCCACCCUGUGCGCAGGGUCGCUCUGCCCCGAGCGCAGCCGCAGCAGGGGAGGGGGCCCUGCACCCCCUGGCAGCGGGCACGUCCGUGGGGGCAGAGGCGGCACCUUUGGCCGUGCUCGCGGUGCGCUGCGCUGGCAAGAGCUCGCCGAGAGCUGAAUACACUAGCCGGCUGCCAUGCUGCCAAGUGUCUCUGGCCUCGUGUGCUUGACGUGAUCUGUCUGACAAUGAGGUGUGCUAACCCUUCCCUCGGGGGCUGCGCUGCAGCUGGCACUCGGUGCCCUGAGAUCUAAUGGCUUAUGUACUGGACAAACCCUGCCGUUAGGCAAACUGCACCGUCACGGUGAAGCAGCAAGCGGGGCAGCUUUAGACCCAAGUCUAAGACAGCGGUGGCUGCUACAUAGCACCACAGCUUCUUCACCGUAAGUACAAGCAUAAACCACUCUCACCGCACUCUUUUUCCAUAUACAUCUAUUACUGUUGCUCAGGUAGUAUGGACAAAUGUAGAGUAGGAAAUGCGUGGUGCAGGUUUGCAAGGUCUUAGCUAAGUAAAUCGCUCAUCGUUUGUGAGGUGCUCACUGAGAGAUUUGGGGUCUCAAAAGUUAUGUACCGAGUAUCAUCCAUUAUCACCGGGAAAUACAGCAUAGUGUGAUCAUUCUGGUGUUCAGGAACAAGAGAUAGGAGCUGCUGGACUAAAAGUAGUUCAGGGAGAGCGUGUACAAUGAGCAGAUGUGGAUUUUAGAGCAUCCAAGUGCCAAAACUGGGAAAAGGUAAAGCAAAUUGAAACAAACGGAGGGCAGGUGUGGGCAGAAAGCUUGCAGGUUUUGGCAAACCUGGAAGACCAGCAUACAUGAUCAGCAGCGGUUCUGCUGUGCUAGUGGUUCAGCACAGUGCUAGAAAUAGGCUAUGACAAUUUGAAGGAAAAGAACAAGGAAGCUUUUUAAACAGAUAAGAAAAUUUGAUUUUUUGAGCACAUGACUUUUCAGUUAGCUAUUCACAGGAACUGGCAGUGAUAUAGAGAACAUGGCAAUGGCCAUGUGCGUAAGAAACAGUAGAGGUGCUUGCUUAUACUUUUUUGUUAAACAGCUGGUGUGAUCUGAAGCUUUACUAGGAAAACAACAUAGAAAGAAAAAAGCCAAGUGCAACCAAAAACACCACUUCAGGCUGAAGCACUAGAUGCUGUGUUUAACUCCAGCUCUGGUAAAUUCUGUCUUUGGCUAGAGGCACGGAAGGGCCAAAUACUGAUUCUCUGGUGGCCUAGUCAGGCACAGGCUGCUUUGGAGAGUUCUGGCUGGUAGCCGGAAUGGUGCUGAGGUGGACUGCUGAUAUCUCAAGGCACUUAGGAAAAUCCAGAAGUCACAGCGGUGAGUGAGAUCCACAGACCCAUUCACUGAGUUUGAGGAAUAAAUCUUUCAGCUGUAAGUGUGAAAUGCAAAGAUUGCAUCCCAUUUCCUUUCUUUCCCUGUAUAUCUUUUUCUUACAUCUCCUUCCUGUCAUGGCAGUGCCAGUGUACGUUGCACCAGUGCGACUCUACCCCCCAGCUAAAUUCUAACCCAAGUUUAAACUCCAAGUUUGGAGUACCUCUACUUUCAUAGCUUUACAGUGGGAGCAUUAUCAGAUUUUAAUAACUUCAGCUAUACUAUGGGUGCUCACUUCCUUUAAAAGAGUGACCUGCUACAUCUUACCUCUAUGAACCACAAAGUAACAUCCACCAGCCUCUGAUACGCAAGGAGAAAUCUGUUGCCUUAGAACACCACUGGCUCUUGGGUAAAACAAAUCCAGCAUGCAGGUAAGAUCCUGAUGAACCUGGUCUCCAGUGAUGUAUCACACCUACCUACAUACAUACAGAGCAAUUCUUGAUCUGAACAGAAACAUCUACUCUAAGCAUAUUGAUCUGGAUUUUUCCAGCUCAACCUGCCAUUGCUAAAUGCGCACACAGUGCAAAGGUUUUCUGGAGUAGAAAAGGAGAGAACAGGGAAAAGAAGACAUUCGUCCCUGGUUACAGGAAAAAGUCAUCACACAACACAGAAGUAUCAUUCAUUACGAGUGAAACACUGUCUUUUAGCUUAAGCCCUUCCUUAAUUUUGAAGAGCAGAUUUUAUCAUACACUCUUCUCUCCCUCAUCGCUCCCUCAUAGUCCUAGGCCCAGCAAAUCAAUAGUAGUGAUUGUCCUUCAAGCAUCUUGAGACUACUCAGACAUACAGAGUUGCCAUUAGCUGGUACAUACAGUGCAUGAUUUGUUUCUAACCAAGGUCCCCAGCCUGCUAACCCUUGUACUUUCCUCUUAGUGCUGACUCUAUCCAAGGCCUGAAAGGCUCCCUUAUGGGGAGCCAGUGUUUCUGCUCUAACCCCUUCCUUGAAGCUGACAGGCAUAGAACGCUCUGCUUGUGCUGCUCCCCCAGCUACAGCCCUCUGCCAGGCAUAACUGCCAGCUGAUCAGCGUUAUUGUCCUAGCAACUCACCCCCAGGGCAAAAGGCUAACAACUCUUGCAGGUUUGCAAACAGAGGGGAUGAAGGGGUAACUGAUUGCAGGGCUGGUAAAAUGGGAAACAUGCCCUCAGGUCUAGUACACACAGAGCAUUUAGUCUUCCAGCAAACAAUGGCUAGGGAGGGGGAGCGAAGGAAACGGACUGGAAAACACACGAUUCCAAAACCCACGCAAGAAAACUAAAGCCACUGAGGAACGGUUCGGCACUGAGCUCUAGCGUGAGGGUGCAGCAGGAAGCGCAGGCAGAGUGAAAAUCUUCCCACCUCUGAAUUCAUUAUCGCUGACUCUGCUAGAGCAGCGGCAGAGCACUGCGGGUACAGAUCCUGGGGCACUUCUUACUACUCGGGAGUACGCUGCUACUACACCUCACUUUUGAAGGAGAAACUUUUUCUCUCCCUAGAGGAAGCAAACCCUCUUCUCAGCCCGUUUCAUGGCUCCCCAAGCACCGGCAGCCGCUAGAUGGCACGGGUCAGAGCUGCGUCUGUCCAGGGAAGGAUCUCGGCUCUCCCUGCGAGCGCGUUCCUCCUCCCGAGCCCCUCGGUUUGCAACCACGGCUUUCUAGGGCUGGGAGUAGCAGCUUUCUGCCAGUUGGAAGGGAUGAUUCCCAGCUUUCUCAUGGAAAGUGUCAGAUGUUGGAACACGCUGCCUGUAGAAUAUAUGACUUUAAUACUUAAAGAAGUCUAUUUAUGGUUAUUUUAAAGUGGAGCUUACAUUCCUGUGCUCUGUAAAGUUGGAACUAAGGCACCUGAUAUGGAGAAAUAAUUUGUUCCAACAGAGUAUAAAAAUGUUCUAUUUUUAAAAAUAAUCCGGUUUCUGAAAUACACUGAUAGUUCAGCCAAGUUUCAGACUAUAAUGUGUUCUGGAAAAAGUCUACCAGGCAAGACCCUAUCUACUCAUCGGCUGCCUACCUGACCCAUAAAUACUAUCUUCUCAGAGGAACACAGGUACAACUUCAGUUUUUAGACCUUUGGCUCUUCAGCGGAGCACCAAAUAUUUUUAAGCAAAACAAACAUGCGUGCUUCCCAAUUUGUUUCAAGAUCGCAUGCUGGGGGAAACCUCUGAAUCUGAACCAUUGUCACGAGUAUAAAGAUCGCGCUCCCUCCUGCGGUCUGUCUAUACCAGUCUUUGACGCUGCAACUGCCACCUGUCAAAGCUCAACUCCCUCUUGUCCUUUUUUCCCUGGUCAUGGCUUCUGUCUACCCCAGACUCUCUUCUUCCCUCUCAAGACUUUUCCACACUUCUGACCACCAAGCAAGUACUUUAUUCAGGCUGCUGAACCGUCCUUUUAAUCCCUCUGCACCAAUUUAUAUGCCUAAAACUACAGAUUCUGGAUUGGGUUUGCUCCAAGUUGAGGUCAGACAUGACCAACUUAAGAGUGGCACAAUGAGUUACACUUCAUAAAAGCAAUUAAGUGUACACAGGUAGCUCACUUUACAUGUCAGGUAAGGUCAGAACUUUAAACCCCAAUGAAAAAUAUAGUUUUCAUUUCCAACUCUACAGUGCGCCAAAACAGGGCUGUGCUGCUCUGAAACCUGUGCAAAAUUGUUAGGACUUCCUGAUAAGAUAGUCUUGAGGUUUGGUUUUGGUUUUUUUGUUCUUCCCCCCACCCCUCAAAGGCAAAACAAAACAAAAAAAAAUAUCCAAGCUGCUAUUCAUAGUCUGCCCUCUUUAAGAAAAGAAAAAUAAAAUAAAUUUGGUGACACAGCAGGAAAUGGGGAAGGGGAAAUCAGACCACCCUUCUACCUUUUCCCCCAUGGUAUGUUUUAAGGGCUUAAGCUUUUCUGAUGCAGAAAAAGCCAUGGACAAGAAGUCACGUGCAUAAUAAAUAAAAAUCUGGGCUUCAAAAUCCAUUUUUUCUCCAGGCACUGAUAUACCAAAAUAGACAACUAAGAGCUGAGUAACCAUGGACUCAGCAUCUCCUUUAAGAAAACUGUUUUCAGCUGCCAUAAAUUCCUAGCCUUGCCCUUCAAAUAAAUAUUAAGAAAGCUGCCAAGUUCACAUCUACCAUAAAAAAAAAAAAUCUUUCCCCAGAGAAUGAUCAGAUUUAAUAUUCUUAGGAUUUCAAAAGCUCACCUUUUCCUUACCUAAACACCUUUGUGCACCUUAGGGGAAGAGAGCGCCACUGCUUGCCACCUUGAAAAACAUGUAAAAAAAUUAGAGAAAGGUCUAUUUCCAUUGUGUGACAUUGCACCUGUACCACCACCCCACAAUCUGCAGUCCUUACUUACCUGUUGCUAUAUUUAGAAACCAGGACUACAGUUAACUUGGAUGCAGCUGUGCUGGCAAAGAUGUUUAAACCGCUACUGUGCCAGCACAGGAAAGAAAUAUCAUUGUAGGUGUUUCUACACUAAACCACUAUCAGUUCAAUCACACAAUUGACAAGUUGUU